UACGAAGGGGGCUAGCGUUGCUCGGAAUUACUGGGCGUAAAGGGCGCGUAGGCGGAUGUCUAAGUUGGGGGUGAAAUCCCGGGGCUCAACCUCGGAGCCGCCUUCAAUACUGGAUAUCUUGAGUUCGGGAGAGGUGAGUGGAAUGCCGAGUGUAGAGGUGAAAUUCGUAGAUAUUCGGCGGAACACCAGUGGCGAAGGCGACUCACUGGCCCGAUACUGACGCUGAGGCGCGAAAGCGUGGGGAGCAAACAGG
rnacentral:rRNA from 1 species